rnacentral:sRNA from 12 species
UCGGGCAAAUGUACAGCGGAACCUUUAACCGCUAAAGUGAAGCGCCUUGCCAAGAAGUGACCUGUGAAUGAGGUUGCGUUUGUAAGAAAAGCAAAAUGCAUAGACAUUUUGGCCGCCAGAGAACUGUGAAUUAUGGUAAUCAUUUGCAAAUGCAAGCAGUCCGUUGCCGGUGGAUUGCAAACUGCAACAGGGUUCAGGACAACAAAUAAAGGCAUGAGCAGUCAGUGCAUUCACCACUGGCUGUUUUUG